rnacentral:lncRNA from 10 species
GAGUUACUAGAAGCAUGAUCAUAAGAGUGUGGGUUUGGAAAUCAACCUGACUCUGCCAUGUAUUGGCUUAGUGGCAAAGGGCAAGGACCUUUGUUUUCUCAACUAUAACAAUGAUGUUUAUAAUGGGAGUUUGCAAGUUGUUGGUUUGUAUGGAUGAGAAUAAUAUCUACUGUGUUAUAAAAAAGGUCGUAAAGUCAUCUUCUGGGAAGAUCCCCAAAAAGGAACUGGGAGCUGUUGGGAAGUGGGGGAGGUAAGGAAAUCGAUGGUAGAAACCACUCAACUACACCAUAUCAAUUACCACAUGAUGUAAAGGGCUUGGCAUAGACCCUUAUCUACAGUUAGUGAGCAUACAAAAAGUGGUAGCUGUAAUUUGCUUAGAAGUCUGUCUGC